AAAGUCUGCUGUCUCUUCCUGGGAGAAGGAAGGUGUAUUUGGGGUGGCAAACCCAGAGAUGGGGGAAGCCAGGAAGGGAAGAUGUUUCAUGAUCAGUGGAACUGGAGUCAAAGGGCCCAUAUUUCCUGAGGGGCUGUUUCUGAGCAGACACCAGGAAAAUAGGGAAUGCUGGAGAAUCAGGUUCACAAGCUUCUCGAUGGCCAGAGUGGCCCAUCUUUUAUUGAAACAACAUCUCAGAAUGGGUCAGCCUGCGGCAACAUAAAAGUGAACAGCUCUCAGGAGGAGCCUAACAAUCGUUCAUUCCAAUUUUGA